UUUAAUUACCCAAGUUUGAGUAAUUUCCAGUAUAAAUCCG
rnacentral:misc_RNA from 1 species